rnacentral:rRNA from 1 species
AACGUAGGAGGCGAGCGUUAUCCGGAGUUACUGGGCGUAAAGAGCGUGUAGGCGGGUAUGCAAGUUUGGCGUGAAAGCUCCCGGCUAAACUGGGAGACUGCGUUGAAGACUGCGUAUCUAGAGGCAAGUAGAGGGACGUGGAAUUCCGGGUGUAGUGGUGAAAUGCGUAGAGAUCCGGAGGAACACCAGUGGCGAAGGCGACGUCCUGGGCUUGACCUGACGCUGAGACGCGACAGCACGGGGAGCGAACGGG